rnacentral:rRNA from 1 species
UGUGACCUCAAAUCAGGUAGGACUACCCGCUGAACUUAAGCAUAUCAAUAAGCGGAGGAAAAGAAACUAACAAGGAUUCCCCUAGUAACUGCGAGUGAAGCGGGAAAAGCUCAAAUUUAAAAUCUGGCAGUCUUUGGCUGUCCGAGUUGUAAUCUAGAGAAGCGUUAUCCGCGCUGGACCGUGUACAAGUCUCCUGGAAUGGAGCGUCAUAGAGGGUGAGAAUCCCGUCUUUGACACGGACUACCAGGGCUUUGUGAUGCGCUCUCAAAGAGUCGAGUUGUUUGGGAAUGCAGCUCAAAAUGGGUGGUAAAUUCCAUCUAAAGCUAAAUAUUGGCGAGAGACCGAUAGCGAACAAGUACCGUGAGGGAAAGAUGAAAAGAACUUUGGAAAGAGAGUUAAACAGUACGUGAAAUUGCUGAAAGGGAAACGCUUGAAGUCAGUCGCGUUGUCCAGGGAUCAACCUUGCUUUUGCUUGGUGCAUUUUCUGGUUGACGGGUCAGCAUCAAUUUUGACCAUUGGAAAAAGAUUAAGGGAAUGUGACAUCUUUGGAUGUGUUAUAGCCCUUGGUUGCAUACGAUGGUUGGGAUUGAGGAACUCAGCACGCCGCAAGGCCGGG